UUUCCCCCAAAUUUUCUCUCUCCUGGAACUUCCAUCUUUCUCUCCUAAAGGCGCCCAAAAUUCAGCCAUUUCUCUCCAAUUUCGCCAAAAUCUUAGAAAACAGUUUAGAUUAUUGCAUAAAAUCAGUAUCAUUCGAAGAAUUUUCGAAACAAAUUAACAAACCCGUGAAGUUUUUGAAUUCAGAAACCCUAGAAUUUUCGAUUUUCAGUUUUUGAAUGGAUCCGAGUGACGAUCAAAGAAGGCAAUAUGAAGAUGCGCGAUUUGAAGAAACAAAAGCAACUUCUGAUUUAGAAAUUCCAGAAAUUCGCAACUAUCUGCAGAUUGAUAUUCUACCAACUGAGAUUCAUAUCAAGUUGAUCCAUUAUUCUUUUCAAAGAGAGACGUUCCUUCAGCGCUUAGGUUAAUAAUGCGAGACUAUCUGCUGAUUGUUUAUUUAGUUGCAGCUGGGGACUUUUCAAAGUGUAGGAUGUCUUCUCUCAGAGCAUAUGAGCUUUUCAAACUGUACACUGCUGAGUAUUGUGGUUUUUCUUAUCAGAAAUAUAUUGUGAUAUCUUCCGUGCGUCCUCAGUAUAGAUACUUGGAAAUGUUGCAAUUGCUUAUGCAACUAGUGUUGUUUUGGCAUCGCAGACAAAAUCAAAGUGAUAAAUAAGGUCGGGGCUUCGGGUGAAUUAGGCUCUUGGUUUGUCAAAGGGUGUUGGCCUAGGUGCGGAAGCGCUUUGUGAAAACUGGUGAUAGGGUGAUACGUUGAUUCGUGAAGACGGGUGAUGCAGUAUAGUUUAUCUGUUUUAAUUAUGGCUAAAGUUGACCAUCGUUGACUUUCACAAUGGUUGUAACUUUUUAUUAUAGAGCUCUUCUUUUUACUCAAUUUUUGUUGCUUGUUGUUAGUAGGUGUAGUUUAGUUGAUGGUUUGUGGAUGUCUUCAUUCCCACCUUUGUACAAACGUUUUGGUUACUGAUGCUAAUAUACUGCUUAUAUAUCAUUAAAAAUAAUUUUUAGAACAAAUGAUAUAAGUUUCUUCUUUACUGCAACAUUCUGUUGUGCCUUAUGUUGAUUGUCUUAAAUGAAUCAUCAGGUGAUGCUAGGGAGUU